UUGCACCAUUUAUAUAUGUGAGUACUAAUGUUAUUUUAUAAUUGAUCGAUUAGUGUCCAAGACAAGAAGGAGGGUUCGAAUGUGGCUACUUUGUUAUGAGAUUCAUUAAAGAGAUAAUUUUUUAUCCUACAAUUAUUGCUUCAAAGUUUGGUAAUAAAAAAAACAUAUUCUCAAGUAGAAUUCGAUGAAAUUAGAGGAGAAUGGGCUACUUUUGUGCUACAACUAAUCAUGAAUCAUGUUGAUGCAUCAUGAUCACCAUGCAUGGUGAGUCCCUUAGCUACUACAUGAAUUUUUCCAUAGGUAUACACUCUUGGGAGGGUGAAAUGGAGAAUAAAAAGAAAGAAGAAG